CACUCAUGUGUGGUUUUUGGUGACUCAAUGAACAAAGUCUUAAAGACAUGUAUGGAAAAAAAUAAAUUCUCUUAUGUAACCCAGAACUCAUUAUUAAGCAUGAGUUUGAUACAUAUCAGAAGGGAUAUG
ensembl:snoRNA small nucleolar RNA SNORA40